UACAGAGGGUGCAAGCGUUAAUCGGAAUUACUGGGCGUAAAGCGUGCGUAGACGGUAGCGUAAGUCGGGUGUGAAAGCCCCGGGCUCAACUCCAGAAUUGCCUUUGAAACGGGAACGCUUGAGUCCGAGAGAGGAUGGCGGAAUUCCUAGUGUAGAGGUGAAAUUCGUAGAUAUUAGGAAGAACACCGGUGGCGAAGGCGGCCAUCUGGCUCGGUACUGACGCUCAGGUUCGAAAGCGUGGGGAGCAAACAGG
rnacentral:rRNA from 1 species